rnacentral:rRNA from 1 species
UACGUAGGGUGCAAGCGUUGUCCGGAAUUAUUGGGCGUAAAGAGCUCGUAGGCGGUUUGUUGCGUCGGCUGUGAAAUCCCGAGGCUCAACCUCGGGUCUGCAGUCGAUACGAGCAAACUAGAGUGUUGCAGGGGAGACUGGAAUUCCUGGUGUAGCGGUGAAAUGCGCAGAUAUCAAGGAGGAACACCGGUGGCGAAGGCGGGUCUCUGGGCAUUACCUGACGGCUGGAGGAGCGAAAGUG